AUUCGGAUUUCAUUUCCAUGGACAAUAACAAUUUGGUAUUCUUCAUGUUCCGCCAAAUUGGACCAGCAAUGUUCCGGAAUACGCAGGUUUCCAUGUCAUGUGUAGGUGGAUGUGGAUGCCUUCUUCACCACCAGUCCCAUCCUAUUGUAAUUUGUAGCUUGCUCUUCUUUUUUCAGGUGUAGUCCAGUGACUAGUAGGUUUCAAAUUUAAAUACUUAUGACACCAUAGUAAUGUGUGAGAGAAAUCUUUCAUUUUCUUAUAGUUUAAAUUAUUACUUAUUUUUAAAAUAAACGUUUUAGUUUUUUGCGUGAUCUAAAAUAAUCGAGGCCCUGGUUUUCUAAAGUAGAUCCAGAUCAAAGACAAAGUAAAUGAGCUUGGUUCCCACUCGGCCAAUAGUCAGAUUCUGGAUCUUCAUGUGUUUCCCAUGGUCCCAGAUGUCAGCAUACUGCAGAAACAGCUAUAUAAUAUGUUGUGAGCCCCUAUCAUCAACUUGUGGCUGUAGUUUAGUGAUCAGUUUCAAAUAUCCAGACGAUGUGCAUUCAGUACAUCUGUAGGACUAGGACUGUGUGGGCUAUUUCAAUGUUGCCCUAUGUUUUGGCUGAGGAGAGGAGGAGGCUCAUCUCAUCUGUCAAAGUAUUCGAACCAGUGGAUCCCAUGAUCAUGUAACCAAAAUAUAUAUUUAUAUAGAUGAUGUCCAUUACAGUUCAA